rnacentral:misc_RNA from 1 species
GAAAUGCGAUACUUGGUGUGAAUUGCAGAAUCCCGUGAACCAUCGAGUCUUUGAACGCAAGUUGCGCCCGAAGCCAUUAGGCCGAGGGCACGCCUGCCUAGGCGUCACACGUCGUUGCCCCCCCCAUCUACUCCUUCGGGAUUGCGGGGGGCGGAUGAUGGCCUCCCGUGCGCCUCGCCGCGCGGUUGGCAUAAAUACCAAGUCCUCGGCGACGCACGCCACGACAAUCGGUGGUUGCGAGACCUCGGUUGCCCGUCGUGUGCGUUCGUCGCGCAUCGAGGGCUCGAAAAAAUGCUCGGCUCUGGCUCGGCUUUCAACGCGACCCCAGGUCAGGCGGGGUUACCCGCUGAAUUUAAGC